CAUAGCCGCGGUAAUACGAAGGGUGCAAGCGUUAAUCGGAAUUACUGGGCGUAAAGCGCGCGUAGGUGGUUCGCCAAGUUGGAUGUGAAAUCCCCGGGCUCAACCUGGGAACUGCAUCCAAAACUGGCGAGCUAGAGUAUGGUAGAGGGUGGUGGAAUUACCUGUGUAGCGGUGAAAUGCGUAGAUAUAGGAAGGAACAUCAGUGGCGAAGGCGACCACCUGGACUGAUACUGACACUGAGGUGCGAAAGCGUGGGGAGCAAACAGGAUUAGAGACCCCCGUAGUCCCUGUCUCUUAUACA
rnacentral:rRNA from 1 species